AUCUCAGCCAUGCCUUGGCGCCCCGCCGCACUUAUAUUACCGGUCGCCCCGCCCCGCUGCCCCCUCCCAUCUCCGCUUCUCCCCAUCUCUCUUGUUUUGCUCGGAUCCAAGCAACAGGCGGAAGUCUCACCAUCAGCUGAGUCUGCAGAUAAGUGCAUCUCCCUGCCCUCUGAUGCCCUGUCGGCAGAUUCAAUUUCGGUGAGAGGACCCGAUAGGUUGAUGAGGAACUGAACAAGUGGUUGCUGCCUUCAAUUGGAAGGUGAGCCAAGAAAAGCUUGUCCGGCAAAAGCGGUGCGGCUCCCGCCGGGAUGGGCGGACUGUUCUUGGCUGCCGAACCACGACUGGAGGCGUAGAAGGCAAGGAAGAUGUCACUUCUCGUAGAGCAGAGCAAGAAAGAGGUGCCGCGGAUGACGCCGGACGACAGAGAGCGACUAAACAAUCUCCUUAUCACGCUGGCGCCGGUGCUGCCAGGCCACAUCGUCGAGCUCUUGCACAAGCAUUGCAUUGGUGACUGCAACAGCGACGAGAUCGAGAUUGACGUCCACUCUAUGGAAGACUCUGCCCUGUUCGAGCUUAAGACGCAGCUUGACAAGUUCGAUGAGGAGAUCAAGACCAAGAGAGCCGAGGACGAGGACGUCGACAUCUGCGGCGACGCCUCCCCUGCCAUUUUCCCUCAUACCGGCAAAGCCAGUGGUAGCCCGAGCCCAAUCAGCUCCCUUGCAGUUUUGUCAAAACUAAUGAAAAGGUCUAAUGAAAAGCUUAUAUAUUAUCAAACAGGAUCUCUAUGUGGUUUGGAGGUGCUCGAUGUCCUUCGUGAUAUAUAUAGCUGGAAGCAGAUCACAUCUGUGAUCUGCAAUUGUGUUCUAGAGCUGGACAUGUCAGGCUAUUUGUUCCAGUUCCAUUAAGCUAUGCUAUGGGCUUGCCAAAUUUAUUUGUUUCUUCAAGGUCGGAGCAAGCGUUGGUGCUUCAUGUUGUGCCAAACUGCAUUCAUAGUCAGAGUUCUUGAUCUUUAAGGAAUUAUUACUGCUAGACGGAUUGGCAUGCCUAUAUUGUGCUCGUUUUUUGUUGAACAGAGCAUAACAAAGGAAAACUAAAAAAAAUAGGUUCAUUAAUUUUGGGUAUCUCAAUAUUUAUUUAUGAAUUUAUCAAUACUUAACACAUUCAUUUAAUUAUAGAAAAAACAAUAGUACUUUCAUACAUGCACAUAAUUUUAACAUGUAGACAACAGUAAUGCAAACCUAACUAAAUUUGUUUCAUAUUUUUUGAGUUUUAGAUAUUUUCCUAUGCAUUUAGACUAUUUUAACAAAUUUAUCAAUAUAAAUAUUAUUACUUUCACUAUUUUCUAAAAUUUUGCUAUAUAUACUUAUACAUAUAUAUGUGUACAUAAACAUAUAUAUAUACACACACGUACACAUAUAUAAGACCCAUAUAAACUUAGGUUGCUCCCUAUCUUAGUCUUUUAAUAUAUGUAAUAGAUGACUAUUCACUAUUCAGCAAACAAUAGCACUACAGAGGUUACUUCAUGUUCCUUUUGUUUGGUACAACAGGGACUGCCAAUGGGCCAGGGUCUCCUCCAUCACCGCCGGCUCUGUUUCCCAGUCCUCCGGCUCUCCUUUUCCACUGCCGCUAUCUUCUCUCCUCCUGGUUCGCCGCCACCAGGGCACAUUCGGAUUGAGCCUGCCCAGCCCUGCUGAAACGAUUGCUCACCAAAGAUGUGGACGACUUCCGCGCCGCUGUUUCACCCGCAUGUUGGCGAGAAAUUGACUAUACGGGGCUGGGCGGCUCAUCCAAACACUAGCCAACUUGGGCUGGGCGAGCCAAAAGCUUGGAGCAUCUGCGCCAAUCCAAGAUGCUUAGUAAAUAUUAGUACGGAAGAUCUUGGACAAAUGAUUAAUAUUGGAAAUUUGCAAUUAGAUGAUUAGCUGUUGCUCGAUUAGUGCUUUUGUGUGCUAAUGUGCUACCUAGUUAUUUGUUGCCUAAGCUUGAUGGAAUUGUAGUUCUUAGUGAACCAAGUUGAUACUUGUUAGUUUGCUAAAUAGAUGUCGAAAUCUAGUUGUGAGGGCACAAUAAUUCGUUUCUGCACUCGAGUGAAUAUAAACAGUAGCAUUGUUGGUUUAUAUGGGCUCUCAGGGACAUACCUCGAUGCAUCUGGUAUGGUCAUCCCUUCUGAAUAUUAGCUCCAAGAAAAUAAGCAUGUACUCAUAAUUAAUCAUUACACAUCCAGCGUAUUUACAUGAUCUUCGUUGAAUAGAAGUGCAGCAUAUACAUAGAAGAUCAAUUUCUAACACAAUUUACAGACACAUAUGAAGGGACUAUACAUGACAAGACAAAGAAGCAUCCAUUUAUUUGAUGUGUGUCUGAAAAUUAGGCAUAUGAAGGCCUGCCUACUCGAUUGGGUAGGAAGGCUCCAUGGCGAGGCCACACAUGCCCUUCUUGUCCGAAAUGUCCUUCUCCAUUCUCAAGUAACCGUUUUCACCCCAUGUUGUGCCCCAUGAGUUCUUCAUCAGCCAAUAUUUUGUGCCAUCACUUGUCUGUCCAUAACCAAUGGCUGCAAUCCCAUGGUCCAAGUCAGUGCCGCAUGAGCCAGUCAUCACACCGCCAGAGUAGAACUGAAAUGUCAUGUCUCCUCCAUCCACUGCCACCGACACAGGCUGCUUGGCCACCGCCUUCAUGAGGGCAGCCUCAUCGUUGGCCGGCACGUCCUCGUAGCUCUUGAUGGUUGCGGCACUGUU